UCGUCCUACGGGGGGCAGCAGUGAGGAAUAUUGGUCAAUGGGCGAGAGCCUGAACCAGCCAAGUCGCGUGAGGGAGUACUGCCCUAUGGGUUGUAAACCUCUUUUGUCGGGGAGCAAAAGCCGGACGUGUCCGGCUGUGAGAGUACCCGAAGAAAAAGCAUCGGCUAACUCCGUGCCAGCAGCCGCGGUAAUACGGAGGAUGCGAGCGUUAUCCGGAUUUAUUGGGUUUAAAGGGAGCGUAGGUGGAUUGUUAAGUCAGUUGUGAAAGUUUGCGGCUCAACCGUAAAAUUGCAGUUGAAACUGGC
rnacentral:rRNA from 1 species